rnacentral:rRNA from 1 species
UACGAAGGGGGCUAGCGUUGCUCGGAAUCACUGGGUUUAAAGGGUGCGUAGGAGGGCAGGUAAGUCAGUGGUGAAAUCUUCGAGCUUAACUCGGAAACUGCCGUUGAUACUAUCUGUCUUGAAUACCGUGGAGAUGAGCGGAAUAUGUCAUGUAGCGGUGAAAUGCUUAGAUAUGACAUAGAACACCGAUAGCGAAGGCAGCUUGCUACACAAUUAUUGACACUGAGGCUCGAAAGCGUGGGGAUCAAACAGG